rnacentral:rRNA from 1 species
GACGAACGCUGGCGGCGUGCUUAACACAUGCAAGUCGAACGGAAAGGCCCUGCUUUUGUGGGGUGCUCGAGUGGCGCACGGGUGAGUAACACGUGUGUAACCUGCCCUUGACUUUGGGAUAACUUCAGGAAACUGGGGCUAAUACCGGAUAGGAGCUCCUGCUGCAUGGUGGUGGUUGGAAAGUUUCGGCGGUUGGGGAUGGACUCGCGGCUUAUCAGCUUGUUGGUGGGGUAGUGGCUUACCAAGGCUUUGACGGGUAGCCGGCCUGGGAGGGUGACCGGCCACAUUGGGACUGAGAUACGGCCCAGACUCCUACGGGAGGCAGCGGUGGGGAAUAUUGCACAAUGGGCGGAGGCCUGAUGCAGCAACGCCGCGUGCGGGAUGACGGCCUUCGGGUUGUAAACCGCUUUCGCCUGUGACGAAGCGUGAGUGACGGUAAUGGGUAAAGAAGCACCGGCUAACUACGUG